GGGACCAUAUGUGUGAUGAACAGUGACCAUGGCUAUAUUGGCCUUUUUACAUCGGCCUUGUCUCCGUGAAUGUGUUGUCUUACCUUAUCUUUUAAAAACUAAUGCUGGUAGUCACUGGGGCACAAGAGUAUCAAAUCAUGGAUAUUUUUAUAACCAAGAAGUCCAAUUUGGGAAAUAAUUUUUUAAAAUUAAACCACUUUGUCCUUAGAAAAGAUUAACGGUCUUAAAUCUCUCCAGGGUCAUCAAAGCAUGCACUUAAACGAGAGGGUAACAGGCUCCCUAUCCUAGAUGUUCAUAGGUUGAGCAGGAGAGAAAGACUCAUCUAUUAAGAUUUUCUAAGAUCAGAUUGUAUAGGAAGGUCUUGAGGUGUUCUGAAGUAACAGGCAAGAGUUGUCAGCAUUUCUGAAGGAAUGUUGAAGGUUAAGAUGAUUAGUGUUUAAAAUAUAGAGACAGGGAAGGAGGCAGAGGGCCACAGAUGGUGCUGAGUGGGGUCAGGACCCUGGACAGCUCUGUGAAUCUUGAUCUACUGCUGCACUUGUCCUCUUGUCAGCUUUUGGAUAUGGAGCCAACUCACUCAUAGGCUUUGAUUCUGACUGAGCUGUGGAAUUUUAAUGUCAUGGUCAUGAUGUUUUAGGCUCUGGCCUUAUUGAGGGGCAGGAGGAUAGAAAAUCAACUUCAUCUACCUUUCAUAUCCACUGUGGGUUUCUGGCCUGACUGAGGUUUUGGCAACUUGGAGGCAAUUUGUGUUAAUUAUGGGGUGGAGUGCAGGUGGGGUUGUAAGCUAUCCUCAUACUCUACCAUAUUUUCCCACCAUGCAUUUUCUCUCCUCACAGGUAGAGAAUGAUAUGAGCAGAGCCCAAGACUACAAAAGAAAAGACGUUCCCAACUCAGUUUGUGGAGACUCUGAAGUGUGCCAUGACUCAUCAGGUGAUCACAGUGGAAGGCAAAGGCUAAAUCUGUUUCUUUAAACUGUUUACUGAACGUGACCAAUGGAAGAAACCGCUCCAGCUAAGAUGAUGAGUGGCACGUUGGUAGGCUGCAUGUCUAUUACCUAUCUGUUCAUAGUCUUCAAGAAACGAAAAUAUUAGCUAUAAGGAAACAUCACCAGGAGCUGAGUCAGACCAGAGACGUGAAGUACGGCAAGGCUGGGCUUCUGCUGCCAAACAAGCAUUUCCCAGGUGAGGCAGAUGGCUCUGCUGCUGCUGAAGGUCAUUUCGAGGCAGAAAUUUUGGCUGUGAUCAUGGAUUUUCUCUUUGCCUUAUCAGGAGUUGUGUUCGAAUUCAUUCCAAUAUUUGAUUUUCUAUUUCCCUAACAGUUUGAAUUUUAAGAUAGUAAAAUGACUUGCCACAAAGAAACUGGGCCUUUCUAGAAUGUUACCUGAAAGUUCACAGAUACUGUGCUACUUUUAGCGUAACAAAAGUUAGAUUUUCUGUUCUGUCUAUGACAACAUCAGGAAAAGGAGGACCUACCACCACAAAUCACUCACUCCCACCCCCCUCGUCACCCAUCGGGCUCUGUCAGCUGUAAUCAGGGAGGGCAAUCACCUUAUUCAGUGUAGCAGGAGUACUGCUCCAGAAGUUAGGAGAACACAUUUGCUCUUCUUAGCUCUGCCUACUCAUUGUGUGACCUUGGGUAAGUCGUUUAAAUUCUCUGAUCUGUAAUUUCUCAUCCAUGUAGACAUUAGACAAGAAUAAGAUCUUGGAUUUUAUAUUUCACUCCAUGACUUCCUCCAUCCCAACAAGAAUUAUCUUCCUGGAAUGUGACUAGGAUUUUAUAUGUGUACCUCACUCAAUGUAAUCUGGGAUAUUAGCUUAAUUUAAUGAUCACUUGGAAAAUAAUCUGAAGAAAAGCUCAGAUAACAAAUCAUAUAUUUUUCUUCUGCCAAGAAAGAUCCUGUUUUAGGGGUUUGGUUUUGCUGACUUCAGAGAUCAUUUUUAAAAACAUCUUUAGGUAGAGUGAUAUAUUAGUCUAUGCACAGAACUGCUGUCUCAGGGGUGGGGGGUGGGGAAGGUUUAAGGGCUAUGAGCCUCGUUCUGAGGGCUCCCUGACUCCUCUCUGGGAUUCCGGCCAGACACCUCACUUCUUUGUAUCUGAAUAUCUUUAUUUCUAUCUGGGAGUUAGACAGUUAUUGCAGCUUGCCUCAGGAAACUGUGGCAGAUACAAAUCAAAAUCAUUUGGGAACACAAUGCCCAUGGGACAACAUCAGAAGAAUAUUAAAAUUUUAACAGUAAGUAAAAAACUAAAAGUUGCUUCCUUCAGGCUUUGUUAUUGACAGUGUAAGUGCCUCAUGAGUUGGAGACUCUAACAUCAUCUGUAGGUUGCCAUGGCAACAGCUACUGUUACCAGCCUACCUGGAAGGAUCUGAAUGUAAGGUAAUAAUUCAGAAGUCUCUCCUGGCGGUGACUCACGAAGUGCCAGGCAUCUUCCUCCUCCGGUCUGUGUACUUGCCCAAUUUCUCACUUGCCGCUGCAUCAAGAGCCAUUUUGUGCUCUGCGUUUCUCUUCUGCGGGACUACAUGGUUCCAUCGGCCAUCGGUCUGGGAUAAUGCUCCUUCUCUUCCUUGGCAGAUUUAGAAGGCACGUGAACUGCAGGGGAAAGCGGGGUGGAGUCACGGGGAGAAUUAGAAGGAGGAAGAUCUCUUGUUCUUAAUUAGGAGUAGAUAAUGUGGGUCUAUGGAAUUACUCUCACGUAACUCAGUAAUGCCUAUUAGAGUGACUUAGCUAAAGUUCACUCUUCUUAUUUUAUGGCAGAGAAAGAAAUAUUGAUUGGGGUUAAGUAAGUGGUUACAAGUUUAGCCAGUUUUGUUUUCAUGUAUCCGCUGUAUAUCGUUUCUUUUUAUUUUCUCUUUUUAAUAAAUUCUGGUGACUUCCUGGUUAGGGUGGUGAA
rnacentral:lncRNA from 1 species